rnacentral:lncRNA from 1 species
AGGACACAACGACAACAACGCAAAAGCACAAAGCCCGACUACGGAGUGGCACUCGUGGGCGCUACCCAACCGAGUAUGCAAGCGUAUCUCUGACGAGUUCAAUCAGGCUCUCACAGGCUAUAGUCAAAGCAGAAGGGUCUAACUGAUCUAACAACUAUAAUAAACAUGUCAUCGGCACAAUCUGAUGCAAAAACAGCAAACUCGGUCCACUGUCAAUCACAACGGCACCCGACAGUCCGGAAUAGACUAUACACUACUGUAAAAAUAAACUCGGCAUCCCAGUACGAGCAUAAAUUCAUUCUACACUAUUCUGGAUAUCCACCGCCUACAAACUGCGGCGACACAAACAAACUACAGCUCCUAAAGCUAAAUAUGGUAGUUUUCAGAAAAUAACAGUGUAGAACCUAUAGUUUUCUCCUAAGUCAAAUCCAAGUCCAACAAGUAUAAUAAAACUAGCAUUCAAAGCUCCAAUUCAGAUUUCAUUUAAAAACAAUGCAAAUCGGCGAAUCGAGCUAUUAAACAUGAUAUACGAAACCAAAAAUACAUGCUGUCAACUCCGGCUUAGGAGGAAAUCCGACAAUUUCGGUAAACAUUAACCCACCUCGAAAAGUUAUUCCAAUAACGACGAGAAAAUGCAAGGAAAGGAAGUCACGCGCUCGCCCGGCCUCCAAUGGCGCUACCACGACGCACGCACCGCACGCACGCUCGAACGGCUCCCCGGCGCAGCGUCGGCGUCGAUCCGAACUCCAACCGAGGACUCCACCUUGCUCAUGAUCAAAUA